AAAUCCGUGUAGAGCAGUCCUUUUUAUUGUUAUUUUAUUAACUCAUAUUGUAUGAGAACCAUGGGAGUGUCACUAUAAAUAGGGCAUGUCCCCUUCCUUUAGGGGGGUUGGUCACUUUUAUUUUCCAAGAACACUUGUAGUAGAAAAAUUCAUAUAUACAAUCUCUCUCAUUGUUUGAUUCGGCCAAAGCCACGGUUAUUAUUAUUAUUGCAUUCCAUCCAUCUAAUAUCAUACUUUGUUCACUAACGCUCGUAUCACUAGCAAACUAUCGUCAUUAGCCGUUUCACUAAGGAGCUCCCAAAUACUUGUUUUUCCCCCCUAAUACACAUCAAGAACAAAACACAUAUCCUAUACCCAUUCACAAAUUUAAUUGAUUAUCCGAAUCCGGGGUAAACAAUGUAAUUUUUUUUUUUUUGUGUUAGUUUUUAUUUUAUUUUAUUUAGACUAACAAAGUCGCGGACUCGGGCUCCUUGCAUCAUUCUUUAUAUCUUAAUCUUAAUCUCUGGCAAAAUUGACCAAUGUUUUCCCACUCAACAGAUUUGGGAAUUGAGAAGUCCAUCUUUAUUAAACCAAAAACAUUUCACUUGGUUGUGGUGCUCAUGCUGAAGCUUUGGAAUAAUGACUGAAUUGAAGCUUCUUUUGCUGAGGUUUCGCGGGUGCCGAUGAUGAUAUCGAACUAAUGGCAGGAGAAUUCUCUAAAACUUGGAUGAAAAGAGGCCAAUUGAUGUUGUCAAAGUCAAAAACAGCAUGAGGUCCUAAAAUUGAUUGAGAAGGAUGCAUUCAUGUGAACUUUAAAAAAUGUUGGCUCAUGUACAAUUAAUUUUGUUUUGAUUAUGGGUGAAAUCUCAAGCCCCACAUUAUUUUGAGGAGCUAAGAAAUUUUAUUCAUACUUAAUUUAUUUCCCAAAUCCCAAUAUUUCUAUUAUAUAUAAGUGUGGUAGGGGGACGAAUACAUGCAUAAAUGUUGUACAAUCUGCUAUAUUUUAAGCAAACCUUCCAAAGACACUACACAAGUCUUUCAAAAGGACCACGUCUAAUCUUCACGUAUAGUGUGCGCCUUAUAUUAUUGGUACACGUGUUUCAUUUGUGGAUGGCUUCUUCGCUUAAUCGCGUCUCCUCUUAAUUUUUUCAUUGCUUCUCUUUGCUUUGAUAUUUAGUUUUCCAUUUUGUUGCCUAUUUUAUUCUUCUUUGCAAUUAUCUGUUUAUUGUUUCUUUACCUUUAUAAAAUUUAUUAUUUUAUAUUUUCAUUUAGCAAUUUGAGAAUUUUACUUAGGGA